AGCAUCUAAAGGGCAUACGGUGGAUGCCUUGGCAAAACGUGCCGAUGAAGGACGUAGCAGCCUGCGAUAAGCUUCGGGGAGGUGGCAAGCAACCUUUGAUCCGGAGAUUUCCGAAUGGGGAAACCCAAUGCGGGGAAGCCGCAUUACCUUGUGCUGAAUACAUAGGUACAAGGAGGGCACCUGGGGAAGUGAAACAUCUCAGUACCCAGAGGAAAAGAAAAAGAAUGUUCGUUUUACGUUUACAUGCACACGCACGUUGCCUGUAAACGGAUAACGAGCCCAUUCCCUAAGUAGUGGCGAGCGAAAAGGGAAGAGCCCAAACCUUAAUGAGUGAAGUUGUUGUGAUCAUGUGGACUUCGGUUCGUAUGUGACCAGCAAUGAAAGAUGGAAGUCGUUGCUCCUAAGGCGUUGUAAGAUAGUUAUGUCGUCUUCUUCCAAAGACGGGUAAUGCAAGUUGUACGAUGUAUAGUGGAAGUCGUUGGAAAACGACACCAAAGAAGGUGAUAGUCCUGUACAUAAAAUACUCCCGUACCAUUACUAUGAUUAUUCUUGAGUACCACGGGACUCGUGAAAUCCUGUGGGAACCUGCCGCGACUAUGUGGCAAGGCUAAAUACACGUUUUGACCGAUAGUGAACAAGUACCGUGAGGGAAAGGUGAAAAGCACCCCGAGAGGGGAAUGAAAUAGUAUCUGAAACCGUAUGCUUACAAGGAGUCAGAGUCCCGCUUUGCGGGAUGAUGGCGUUCCUAUUGAAGAAUGAGCCAACGAGUGUGUUGUAUGUUGCUUGGUUAAGUCCUCCGGGACGGAGCCAUAGUGAAAGCGAGCGUUAACCCGCGUGAUGUGACUAAAUUCGAAUUGUUCGAUUUUUAUCGAACUUUUCGAAUUUUUUCACAGAGUAGCAUGCACACGACCCGAAACCAGGCGACCUAGCCAUGGCCAGGUUGAAGCGAGUGUAACAGCUCGUGGAGGACCGAACCCACGCGUCGUGCAACACGCGGGGAUGAGCUGUGGUUAGCGGAGAAAUUCCAAUCGAGCCUGGUAAUAGCUGGUUCUCCCCGAGAUAGCUUUAGGGCUAGCGUCGGUUAAUAGUGUAUUGGGGGUAGAGCACUGAAUGGGGUCACCGCCUUCGGGUAGGUAUCCUAAACAAACUCCGAAUACCAAUACAUGUUCCCGGCAGUCAGACUAUGGGGGCUAAGCUCCAUUAGUCGAAAGGGAAACAGCCCAGAUCUCCAACUAAGGUCCCUAAAUCAUCAUUAAGUGUAAAAGGUGGUUGAAAGGCUUAUACAACCAGGAGGUUGGCUUAGAAGCAGCCAUCCUUUAAAGAUAGCGUAAUAGCUCACUGGUCAAGCUUUUCUGCGCCGAAAAUGUACCGGGGCUAAAUGAUGUACCGAAGUUGAGGGUGUCUUCACCUAGAGUGAAGGCGCGGUAGGGGAGCAUUCGUAUUGCACUGAAGCUGUGUCGUAAGGCAUGGUGGAGCGAUGCGAAGGGAGAAUGUUGGCAUAAGUAGCAAAAAGACAGGUGAGAAUCCUGUCCACCGUAAACCCAAGGUUUCCUGGGCAACGAGAAUCGACCCAGGGUUAGUCGGGAGCUAAGGCGAGGCCGAAAGGCGUAGUCGAUGCACAGCAGGUUAAUAUUCCUGCACUCUGUCACACACUGAUGCGGGGACGCUUCGUGAAAUUUCCUGCGUCCUAUGGCUAUGACGUCGGGUGCAUCUUGGCGACUGGUAGGUAAAUCCGCUAGUCAUUAAGCUCGGAUGUAAUCGCAAGUCUGCCGCAAGGCAAGCAAGAGGAAAGGACAUGGAGCCAAGAAAAGCCGCUAGGGUUAAUGUGUGAUGGACCCGUACCCCAAACCAACACA
rnacentral:rRNA from 1 species